rnacentral:rRNA from 1 species
GACGAACGCUGGCGGCGUGCUUAACACAUGCAAGUCGAACGGAAAGGCCCUGCUUUUGUGGGGUGCUCGAGUGGCGAACGGGUGAGUAACACGUGAGUAACCUGCCCUUGACUUUGGGAUAACUUCAGGAAACUGGGGCUAAUACCGGAUAGGAGCUCCUGCUGCAUGGUGGGGGUUGGAAAGUUUCGGCGGUUGGGGAUGGACUCGCGGCUUAUCAGCUUCUUGGGGGGGUAGUGGCUUACCAAGGCUUUGACGGGUAGCCGGCCUGGGAGGGUGACCGGCCACAUUGGGACUGGGAUACGGCCCAGAGUCCUACGGGAGGCAGCAGUGGGGAAUAGUGCACAAUGGGCGGAAGCCUGAUGCAGCAACGCCGCGUGCGGGAUGACGGCCUUCGGGGUGUAAACCGCUUUCGCCUGUGACGAAGCGUGAGUGACGGUAAUGGGUAAAGAAGCACCGGCUAACUACGU